rnacentral:rRNA from 1 species
UACGAAGGGGGCUAGCGUUGCUCGGAAUCACUGGGCGUAAAGCGCACGUAGGCGGUUUGUUAAGUCAGAGGUGAAAUCCUGGAGCUCAACUCCAGAACUGCCUUUGAUACUGGCAAGCUCGAGUCCGGAAGAGGUAAGUGGAACUCCUAGUGUAGAGGUGGAAUUCGUAGAUAUUAGGAAGAACACCAGUGGCGAAGGCGGCUUACUGGUCCGGAACUGACGCUGAGGUGCGAAAGCGUGGGGAGCAAACAGG